GAUGAACGCUAGCGGCAGGCUUAAUACAUGCAAGUCGAGGGGCAUCAAGGUACACGAAAGUGUAUUGUUGGCGACCGGCGGACGGGUGAGUAAUAGGUAGGUAACCUACCUCAUACUGAGGCAUAGCUGGGAGAAAUUCCAGGUAAUUCCUCAUGAGGUUAUAUGACACAUGUGAUAUAAUCAAAGGUAUCGCAAGGUACUGGUAUGAGAUGGGCUUACUGACCAUUAGCUAGUUGGUGAGAUAAGAGCUCACCAAGGCGAAGAUGGUUAGGGGUUUUGAGAGAGAGAUCCCCCACAUUGGAACUGAGAUACGGUCCAGACUCCUACGGGAGGCAGCAGUAGGGAAUAUUGGGCAAUGGGCGGAAGCCUGACCCAGCCAUGCCGCGUGAAGGAAGACGGCCUUAGUGGGUUGUAAACUUCUUUACUAUGCGACUAACUAGAUUUACGAGAUAAUUCUAUAGAAUGUAGCAUAGCAAAAGCACCGG
rnacentral:rRNA from 1 species